rnacentral:rRNA from 1 species
UACGUAGGCAGCGAGCGUUGUUCGGAGUUACUGGGCGUAAAGAGUGCGUAGGCGGUUUUCUGAGUUUGGUGUGAAAUCUCCCGGCUUAACUGGGAGGGUGCGCCGAAGACUGGAAGGCUUGAGUAUGGGAGAGGUAAGCGGAAUUCCUGGUGUAGCGGUGAAAUGCGUAGAUAUCAGGAGGAACACCUGCGGUGUAGACGGCUUACUGGACCAUCACUGACGCUGAGGCACGAAAGCGUGGGUAGCAAACAGG